UACGUAGGGUGCAAGCGUUAAUCGGAAUUACUGGGCGUAAAGCGUGCGCAGGCGGUGAUGUAAGACAGAUGUGAAAUCCCCGGGCUCAACCUGGGAACUGCAUUUGUGACUGCAUCGCUGGAGUACGGCAGAGGGGAUGGAAUUCCGGCGUGUAGCAGUGAAAUGCGUAGAUAAUGCGGAGGAACACCGAUGGCGAAGGCAGCCCCCUGGGCUAACACUGACGCCUCAUGCACGAAAGCGUGGGAGC
rnacentral:rRNA from 1 species